rnacentral:lncRNA from 1 species
GAUGAUCCUCAGAUUCUCGUGACCUCACUGCUAGUCGUAGCAAUAUAAACAGACAUGGUAUAGACAAAAUUAACAUUACACCAAACAUUAGAACAAACUGAAUAAUAAUGAUUUACGCGAUGCUACGAGAUCGUGGGAUUGAGAACUACUAAGAUCGGAGUUACGAUUAAGGAGUUAUGAUUUUAUAGAAGAUCUGUGUGAUUAAAAUAUUAAACUAUACUAUAAAUUGGUUAAUAUAAAUCAUAUGAGAGGUUAUUCUAUAAAUAAUUAUCUCAACUUUAAUCUAAGUUAUAAAUUGACCAUAGAUCAUAUUCUAGUAGAUUAUAAUGAUAAGUAGUUUAACGAGACCAACCAACAUAAGUUAAAUAAAGAUCUAAUUAUAAAAUAACAAGACAUGGUAUAAUAAAUGUUGUUAUUGCAUAGUAAAUAUUCAUAUAAGCUAAAGCAACUGGAAAGGUUUAGUUCGGAGUUAUAGAUUUUAAGUUAUGAAUUUCUAAAGAUUUUAUGUGUUUUGUACAAGAUUAACUAGGAUAUAAAUUUUAAUGUGACUUUCAUGUCAAAAUAGUGGCACUAAUUGAUAAACAAUAAUAUUAUAAAAUUAUAGAAAUUGGAAUAGAUUGAUUUGGUCUUCAUAUGAAUUUUCUAUGAAUUAAACCAAUUCUAGCAAUUAUUUUUGCAUUAAAAAGUAUUUUCCAAAUGAAUUUAUUUGAUUUUCUAAUUAUCUAGACCGAGCGCAUCAUUACCAGAGAGUCCAGGGGCUAAACCAUAAAUGUUACGUAGACUCAGAACUCCCCCGCCAGGACUGCGGGUUAUUUCCCUCAAAACCCAAGGUCUCUUUAGUAAAAGGUUCUAACCGAAUGGGUGCGGGCUAAUCCUAGCCGCCCGAUUCACAAUCGACGUUCCAGAUUAGAUCGAAGCCUCGCGAAAUGGUACGCCACCCGAGCCCCAGGAUCCAAGAUCUACGCCCCGGAUCCCACUACGUCUUUACCGCACACAAGCCCUCGGAUGAGUCGCCAAUGGCUCGGAUUUAAAGUGUGAAGGGGUAGGCUCCCGCGCCUAAUCUCAGCCGUCUACUCGAAGAUCCAUGGCUGAAAGACCCGUCUCCUACCCCGCGUCCCCUAGACGGCGGUGCCGGCCAAUCUCCCGCAGUGGAGGAGCCCGACGAGAUCCACGCCCGGCGCUACGUUCAUCAUUUACCCAAACUAAAAAGUGCUACACGAAGCGGGAAUCGAUGCGUAGCAGAUUAGGGUGACAUUACACGAAGCUAUAGCGCGGGUGAUACCGCCCACGACAUCCAUGCGGACCCACGGUGGUGACAUACUCCAGCGUCAAAUUCCUAACGCACAAUCAUCCCAUUGCCUUCUCAAAUCGAUGCUACUUAUCGCAGACGUGGAGAAGAAAGCUUGGAGAGGUUUCUCACCGGCAAUUGGGCGGUGUUUAGGUCUGGCGACGUUGUGGGGUGUCUCUGCAGCUUCCGUGAAGUCCGUCAAUGAACUCCCGUCGCCCCGGACUCUUCCCACGCCCAGCGAGGCCCCACACGCGAUAAGCACGAUCCUUCGAGACCUCAAGGGAACUCGCCAGAGCCUAGACGACGGUGUGGUCG